AGGGACUUAGGUUAGAAAGCCCAAGGGCCUUCAAAGCCCUAAGCGAGAGUUAGAUCCUCCCAGACCCUG
rnacentral:tRNA from 1 species